AGUGAACGCUGGCGGUAGGCCUAACACAUGCAAGUCGAACGGCAGCACAGUAAGAGCUUGCUCUUACGGGUGGCGAGUGGCGGACGGGUGAGGAAUACAUCGGAAUCUACUUUUUCGUGGGGGAUAACGUAGGGGAACUUACGCUAAUACCGCAUACGACCUACGGGUGAAAGCAAGGGAUCUUCGGACCUUGCGCGAUUGAAUGAGCCGAUGUCGGAUUAGCUAGUUGGCGGGGUAAAGGCCCACCAAGGCGACGAUCCGUAGCUGGUCUGAGAGGAUGAUCAGCCACACUGGAACUGAGACACGGUCCAGACUCCUACGGGAGGCAGCAGUGGGGAAUAUUGGACAAUGGGCGCAAGCCUGAUCCAGCCAUACCGCGUGGGUGAAGAAGGCCUUCGGGUUGUAAAGCCCUUUUGUUGGGAAAGAAAAGCAGCAGGUUAAUACCCCGCUGUUCUGACGGUACCCAAAGAAUAAGCACCGGCUAACUUCGUG
rnacentral:rRNA from 1 species